UCCCGCAGUAACAUUUCUCGCCAUCUAAUUUAUCGCCGCAGUAUACUCCCUCGCCGCAGUCAGUUCCCCCGCCGCAGUCGCGUCCCACGUCGCAGUCCUUCCCACGCCGCAGUCCUUCCCACGCCGCAGUCAGUGUGUUUUGCCAGUGGCCGAGAGAAGCUUGGGUCAGGUGAGUGUGCUUUUGUUUUGUUUUGUUUCUGUGUUUUUCUCAGAAGUCAAAUUUGGCCGGAUCCGCAGUGCGUUUGUGUCAGCUGUCCAUCGCGAGUCAUCUUCUUGCUUGUCAGGAGCCAGGAUACCAUUUGUGGCAGGCGCAGCGAAGUUUGUUUUUGAUGGUUGCUGGAUCGCAUUUGUGUCAGUUACGUUUAUGUUUUAGAUUUGUUUAUUGCGCAUUUAUUUUUAAUUUUUAUUUAUUUAUUUAUUGAAGGUUCGUCCAUCGCAGCCGUCUCGAUCAUAGUUUCGUCUCCAUCCGCAAUCACCGUCAUCAGGAUUCGCAGGAAGUGGUCCACCCAGCCAAGCUGCCUCUUUUUCAGUUUGGUGCCGGUGAAACGGUCACAAGUAAGACCACUCUGCCUAUAUGAAUAGGUGUGUGGCUUAGUAUUUAUUUCAGCUCGUUAUAUACGUUAGCUAUAUAUAAAUAGUAUUUAGUGGCGUUAGCAGAGGCCUUUACAAUAGUUGGCUUUAAGAGUAUUUUAACAGUAGUAACAUAAAAAUAUCUUAAAAAUAAAUACUGAGUAUGUUAACAGGUUUUUUAAAAUACUUGGAACUGUGACUAAACGCGACAAUUUAUCGCUAUCGAAAUAUUCUUAUGGAAAUAGUAGGCUUUAAGAGCUUUGUUUAACAGUGUUAACAUAAGAAAUAAAUGCUGAAUGUUUUAACAGGUUUUAAAUACAUGGAAUUGUGACUAAACGCGACAAAUUAUUACUAUCGAAAUAUUCUUAUAGGAACUGUUAACUGUGAGGUAUUUCGCGGCUUUCUGCCAACAGGAUUUGGAGUUGCCGCAUCCACAGGAAGGCGUCCAGUGUCGAUGGAGGUGUACCAGCCAGCGGAGUCGGCGAA